rnacentral:lncRNA from 1 species
GAGCCAGUAUCAAGAAGACACGAGAAAUGAGGUGUUGAACAAGGCUGGUAAACUACAGAGCGAACGAUGGGAAUCCUACUUGAACCUAUGAAGAUAUUAAGAUGCAAUAUGAAAAAAAUCGCUGAGUUAUCUCGUUUUUCGAAUCAUCGAUUCUGCACAGGCUCGAGUUGAAAUCUAAUGGCGUGAAGUUGUUGACGUGUGGAGCAAGCAAACGAGACCUACAAGAAGUUGUUUUCUUAUUCUAAAUUUAGCAACUGCAGGAAAAGACCGUAGUAGUUUGGUUUGGAAACUGUACAAUUAUGGACCAAAGUGAUGUAUAUCAUUAGCGACCAACCAACCUACCCCAUGCAGUAGAAUGUGUGUGAUUUGUAUUCGUCACUCGGACUUGUGAAGCAGACGGGUUUUACUAAUAC